rnacentral:misc_RNA from 1 species
GGACACUAAGGAGUUUGAGAGACCAGAUUUCCCACUUAUUUUCUCGGGAGCUUCGGCUUUGGUUGGAGGAUUGCCCUAUGCCCAAUGCUACGGUGGUCAUCAGUUUGGCGUUUGGGCUGGUCAGCUGGGAGAUGGUCGAGCUUUAAAUCUCGGAGAGCUUCUUAAUUCUAAAGGUGAAAGGUGGGAGUUGCAGCUCAAGGGAUCUGGGAAGACUCCUUAUAGCCGAUUUGCGGAUGGCCUUGCAGUCCUGCGUAGUAGUAUCCGUGAGUUCCUGUGUAGCGAAGCGAUGAAUGGAUUAGGAAUUCCCACAACUCGUGCCCUUUGUCUUGUCAGAACUGGCAAAUUUGUUACCCGCGACAUGUUUUAUGAUGGCAAUGCCAAG